AUACGAAAGCCGGUGUCAAAGGACUAGUGGACGCUGGAGUAGUGAAUAUUCCCAGGAUAUUCAUUCGACCGCCUGCAGAGCUUGCGGAGGAGUUGACGACUCACCAGAGCAAAUUACAAGUGCCAGUUAUCGAUCUUGAUGGCAUCAGAUACAAUCAACUUGAAGAUAUUGUUGAUCAAGUUCGGGCUGCGUCCCAAACAUGGGGCUUUUUCCAAGUUAUCAAUCAUGGGGUUCCCUUAAACCUGAUACAAGAGAUGAUCGAAGGAGUUCACAAGUUUAAUGAACAAGAUGUUGAGGUGAAGAAACAGUUCUACACACGUGAGCGCACAAGAAAUGUUAGAUUCAACAGUAACUUUGAUCUGUAUCACUCACGAACCGCAAGUUGGAGGGACACGUUGGCCAUUUCUACUUCGGGUACCAAAAGUUUGGAACCCAAUGAAUGGCCGAAAGUUUGCAGGUAUAUACAUAAUCGAUCCCUGUCUCUGUAUAUAUAUUGCUGGUUAAUUAAGAGCCCUUUUUAAUUAAUGUUCAGUAUAUUGUAACCAGCCAUCAUGAGUUGUGAUAUCAUAUUCUUCUGUACAAUCGUUCAUCCGAAUUUGCAGAGAUACCAUAAUGGAGUACAUAAAGGAAGUCUCAAAAUUGGGUGAGACUCUGUUUGAAAUACUAUCAAUGGCUCUAGGACUGAAGCCUGAAUAUUUGAAAGAUAUGGGAUGCUUCAAUUUAUACAGCGUUAUCUGCCACUACUAUCCGCACUGCCCACAGCCAGAGCUGACUUUGGGAGCUAGAACGCAUUCUGAUCCUUCAUUCCUUACAAUUCUGUUGCAAGACCAAAUCGGUGGCCUUCAAGUCUUUAAUGAAAAUCAGUGGAUUGAUGUUAACCCUAUGUCAGGAGGCUUGGUGGUAAAUAUAGGGGACUUUCUCCAGGUUUGUUUUUGAAAAUAACGGAGACAAUUAAUCUUCCCAUCAUCUGCUUAUUUUUCGUGUUUUAAUAGUAACUAUAUAUGCUAAUUUAAAGUUUUCAAUAAUUAAUCAAUUCAGGUUGUAUCAAACGAUAAACUCAAGAGUGUUGACCAUAGAGUUGUGGCCAAUGUUCAUGCCACUGCAAGGGUUUCCGUGGCAUGCUUUUUCACAGGACACACCACUGAAACGCAGAAGCCCUUUGGGCCGAUCAAAGAGUUGAUCUCUGAAGAAAAUCCGCCUGUUUACAGAGAAUUUCUAGUGGGAGAAUAUUUCAGCAAAUAUUUUUCUAAAGAACUUGAAGGCAAGUCUGCUGGCCUCAAGCAGUUCGAGGCUUGAAAGUAGCAAUAUAUUUGAAUAGAGUUCUUAAAUGUUGUGUAAUCAAUAAAUUGAGGAUGUACUGAGGUUAAUAUCUGCCCUUCCGAAUAACUUCAAACUACAUGCAUGUUUCAAAUAAGGAUAAUAAUUCUCUUGUGAUUUAUUUAUUUAUUUUUUUAUUUUUUGUGUAAGAUUCAAGAAGCAUCCUAUCAAUUUGGAAUUUUUUAUGUUAUCAUGCUAAUUUAAAAAUAAACAAUUAGACUUAAUGCUCAUAUAUAAUUAUAUAUGAUCUACUACUGAUAUUUUUACAAGAUUGAACUUUAGUGUAUCAUUAAUUAAAAAAAAAUUAUUAUGUACUCAAAUCUUAAUAGUAUGCGUUUUACUAAGUUAUAUAUAAUGUAACUUACAAUAAACCCAAAGUUAAUUAUCCAUAACCUUUUGCUUGUUUCACAUAUUAUCAUUCUCUUGUAUUGAAAAAUUAUUUUUGAAUUGUUGUAAAUUACAUAUAACCUAACUUAGCAGCUACCCAUGUAUCAUUAUAAAUAUAUUCUGUUACACGAGAUCUUUGAACUAUACAACACAAAUUAGCAAAAAAUCUGGACUUGAAAAAUGUAAUAACUGAAGCGGUUGAACAUGAGCUGUAAUGCUCAGGGCUACCCAAUAUGCUGGACUUUUCUAAUUCCAACAUCGGAGUCAAAGGGUCAACAGAUUAGGCAAUUGAUUAAGGCCUCAUAUUUAGUUAAUAUGCAUUUAGUCAAACUUUUUUAUUUGUAAAUUUUCUAUCCUCAGUAAUUAUAAAGCAGCAAGCCAGCAAACGAUGUAUAUUAAGUGCCUGUUUGGUAUGGCUUAUUUAAGAGCCAUAAGAGCUUAUUUAAUCGUAUAAGCACUUUUUAAAAAAUUUUAUAGUGUUUGUUUAUUUUUUUAGUAGAGUUUUUUUAGCUUAAAUAAGCUAAUUUACCUCUACUAACAAAAGCCUAAAAUUUGAGCUUUUGGGAGUAGAGGUUAUAAAGCUUUUUUAAAAAUAUAUAAUAUAAAAAAUAUCACACAGUUUAAUAGUUCAAAAGUGUGUUUUUUAUUGACAACCAAACACCCAAUGACUUUUUGUCCAAAAGUUCUAUUGGUAUAAACUCUACUGUUAUAAGCUCUAUUUAAUAAGUUGUACCAAACGGAGCCUAAUUAGUUUGCAAAAUAAAGGGCUUAUUGGAAAUUCUCCUGUAUACAGUGAAACGUCUGUGCAAGAUUUCAUUGCGUACUGCAAAUCAAGAGGACUUUGAUGGGAACUCUGCUCUCACACGUUUCAAGUUGCGGAGGUAACCACAGAUAGGAGGUUAGGUUGCCGUGAUUAACGGAUUGUUUACCCAAGUGGAUGGUUGUGCUGGAGCCGUACUGAUGCGCACUGACAUCCAUGUGCUUCUCAACACUUGAUGUUUGCUUUCACUUGUCGAAGUUGGAUUUGAAAAAGAAAAAGCCGAUGUACGAAAAGGGUCCAGCUACAGUUCAACACCCCCUUGUAAAUUUUCAUUUAACCCUUUUUACUCAUUUUUAUUUAAACUUUAUUUCAUAAAUAUUAAGUUAUUUCCUACUGCAUCUAUAUGAAUAUUUUAGUUAGCACCUUAUACUAUUUAUUAUUAACAAAAUUUUAUUUUAUAUUACAUAUGUAUCACAAUGCCCCCUCCCUUUAUAAUUUUGAGAUCAAAUAAUUAAUCAGAUCGACCCGAACACUCGAACCCGACCCAGAUUUCGUUUCCAUUUCCGGCCACUCUACCGCCCAAGGUUGAUACCAAUCAGAAGCUCGUGAGAUGCCGGUCAUCUCCAUGCCACCCACGUUGUCAGAAGGCUUUCGGAAAGCUACCGUCGACUCGACCCUGAUUCCGUUUUCGUUUUCGGCCACUCCACUGGCCAAGGUUGGUACCGAUCGGAAGCUAGUGCGACACCGGUCAUCGGCAUACCAUCCUUGUCGCUGAAAAGUAUUCGUAAAGUUGCGGAUCGAAGCCAUGAAAAGCCGCGGAAUCAUCGCUUCAAUUCGCUAUGAUUUCGCCAGUUUUCGGUGACGCCACCACUUGUGUUUUGUUCCCCAUAAAUCCCUCUGUCUUUUCCGACCAACCACAGCCACUGGAGGAGCCGUUAUCAGCCGUUGAAGGAUUCAGGGAUGCAGUAGAAAGUAACUUAAUAUUUGUGAAGCAAAGUUCAAAUAAAAAUGAGUGAAAGGGGUUAAAUAAAAUUUUACAAUGGUACAGCCACAAAAGACAAAAGAAAUGACAUGGUACCGCUGUGGUAUAAUAGCUUAGUCCGUACGAAAAACCAAUUAGGACGUCUAUUUACUUCAGGAAUGAAAAUUAUUUGAAUAUCUCUGCUGUAAGCAUAGCAUCCUUGAAUCGUUGACUGCCAGUGCAAUGGUGUGAUCUCUAUCAAGCAAUAAGUAAGCUUGAUUUUAAGCCAGGCCGUUUACCAAUUAUAACUAUCCAAUGUUUAUGCUCAUUAAUUAUUUGAUACUUAGUUGAAAAGUAUUAACAUAGGCCAUAAGACUACCAUCUAUGUUCAUCAUUUUCUUGUAGAAAACAGACGAUGGAUAUCUCAGAUGCCAGUAGAACGACCACGCAAACUGUAACGGACUACGACAGAGCUAAAGAGGUUCAGGCUUUUGAUGAUACAAAAGCCGGUGUCAAAGGAUUAGUGGAUGCUGGAAUUGUGAACAUUCCGAGGAUAUUCAUUCGACCACCUGAGGAGCUUGUCGAGGAGUUGACCAGUCAUCAGACCAAUUUUCAAGUACCGGUUAUCGAUCUUGAUGGCGUCAGAGGCAAUAAGCUUGAGGAGAUUGUUGAUCAAGUUCGGGCUGCAGCAGAGCCAUGGGGCUUCUUUCAAGUGGUGAAUCACGGUAUUCCCUUAAAUGUGUUGGAAGAGAUGAUUGAAGGGAUACGCAAGUUUAAUGAACAAGAUGUUGAGUUGAAGAAAGAGUUUUAUACACGUGACCAGACAAGAAAUGUCAGAUUCAACAGCAACUUUGAUCUGCAUUACUCACGAACAGCUAAUUGGAGGGACACGUUGACAAUUUCUACCGUAGCUUCCACCAAUUUAGACCCCAACGAAUACCCAGAAGUUUGCAGGUACAUACUUUGAUCGCUGGCUAUGUAUAGCAUUAUCUCCCAACAUCUGAAUCCGACUGAUUGUUUAAUAUGCAAUUGGAUACACUUUAUGGAAGGCAUUGGGCUUGCUACCACAAGUUCAAAUAAUAAGUUCUUUUGGACCAAAAUUUGUUGAAGUUGAAAAAGAAAGUCUUAGUUGGGACGCAUAGUUGCUGCAAUAUGCUGAGGUUUUUUCUCAUGUUGGGUUAUUAAGUUUGUUUAUUGAAUGUGAAAGACACGGUCUGUAAGCAUGUUCUUGUUCCUGCUAAUAUUUCAUUUAAUGUUUCACUAUUUGCUGCUGCAAAUGAGCACCCUACUUUAUGCUCACUUAGGCAUUUAAUCAAACUUCUUCAUAGAUAUUAUCAAACACCUGUGAACUCCUUGUAAUAGACGUGAAAACAAACCAUCAACAGAAAUCAUCAACCAACAACUACAAGAGCAAUUAAUGUGUGGUUCAUUGAAUUGGCUUAUGUACAUCUAAGUUCCUAUCAUUCGAUAUCACAAAAUUGUAAUUCUAAAUGAAUCAACAAUUUUGCAUUUUACAGGUCUAUUGAAAUUAAUUAAUUCGUGAUCACAGUGAUAUUUUUUUCUUUUUACUUUUUUCUGUUAAUACCCAAUUGAUUGUAUCUUCUCCUGUGCCAAUUGUUCUCACAAAUUUGCAGAGAUGCUGCGAGAGAGUACAUUAAAAAUGUCACAAAAUUGGCUGAAACUCUGUUUGAAUUAUUAUCACUGGCUCUUGGGCUGAAGGCUGAACAUUUACUAGAGAUUGGAUGCCCUAAAGAAUACAUCCUUCUCUGCCAAUACUAUCCACCUUGCCCUCAGCCAGAUUUGACAUUGGGAGCUACCGGGCAUUCAGACCCUUCAUUUCUUACCAUUCUUCUGCAAGACCAAAUCGGCGGCCUUCAAGUCUUUCAUGACAAUCAAUGGGUUGGUGUUCAACCCAUCGUGGGAGGCUUAGUGGUAAACAUAGGGGACUUCCUCCAGGUUUGUCUUUCACAAUUGCAAUGACUAUUUUUUCCACCAUCAUGCCAAUCUUCAUCAAUCAUCACGACACUCAUGACUAAUUAGCUGAUGGUGUCUUAAAAUUGAAUCAGAUUAUAUCAAACGACAAGUUCAAGAGUGUUAAACACAGAGUAGUCGCCAGUCAGGUCGGUCCAAGGGUUUCCGUGCCAUGCUUUUUCAUGGGACAUAAUGCAGAAAUCCCAAAGUCUUAUGGGCCGAUCAAAGAGUUGACAUCCGCAGAAAAUCCUCCUAUUUACAGAGAUUUUCUUGCAAGUGAAUAUUUUAGCAAACGAUUUUCUACGGUGCUUGAUGACAAUUCUCCCCUCCAUCAGCUCAAAUUAUGAAGCCGGCAAUAUUUGUAUAAAUUACUCGUAUUUGGUAACAACAAUUUACAAAUUGCGGAGUCCUGUUGUGAACUCUUUCCCAAUAAUUCCGAAAAAAAUAUGUUUUAACUAAUUAAUAAGGUAUGAAUCAUCCAAUGUUGCUCUUUGAUUUCUUCAAUUAUUAGAAUGUCCCUACUGCACUGCAGUUCCCCAAUUAGUGUCAAAAUUGCUCAGCCAGCGCUCGUUGUAAUGCUUCGUUUAUUAUUUGAUAUGGAUUAAACGAUUGUUUUAAUCAGAUCAUGAUUCAAGGUCGAUACGAUCACCCUAAGAUCUUGAUUGACCACUAAUGAUGAAAGAAAAAAGAACACAGACUAUCUGAUUUAUGCACUAAACAAAAACAAUCAAUUGAGCACCAAGAACCAGAUUUACGUGGUUCAAUGGAGAUGGCUCAUAUUCAAGGAAGAAUGGGGUAUCAGGAUUUCAUUAAACCUUGAUGUCAAAUUAUACAAUGACACUACAAGUUGCUUGGAACAAGAUGAAGUGACUUUCUCUCUCUAAUUCUUAUAUCUACAGCAUGUAUGAGAUCUCAGUAACCAUGAUGUUGAUCAGCUUGUCAUAACAGCGCGACGGGGACCCGGGGAAGAAAAAAAAACUGUUCCUGUUUGACCAAUUUGACUUAGGUGGCCCAGGUGCGUUGCACGUGAUUACUCAGUUCAACAUCAAAACGACAGAAUUCUCAGCCGUUUCACGCUUGGAUUUUUAACGCCAAACGUUACCCUUUUUUUCUCUGUUUCAAAGGGCAAACCACAGGCGUUUUAAUUUGCAGCCUCCUGAUUUGAGAUCUUAUGUCAACGCCGUCGUAAUCCUUACUCCUUAGUCGAUCAGACACCUCAUUCUCUUAUCCUUGAGAUUUAUGAUUUUGCUGUCCCAUGAGCGUAAUAGUUUGGUUUUUUUUUUUUUAAUAAAACCACCAAGAGGUGGGGUUAGGUGGACCCCCUGUCUAUAAUAUAAAUGAAUAAUAAAGUAAAUACAUGAGAAAGACAUAAACCAAAAUCUCCUAAAAUAAAUAUAAAUACAGAAGAAUAAAAUUAUCAAAAGGAAGAUAAAAGCCAUCAAUGCUCGCCUAUGAGGUAAUGAACAACAUGCGCAUCCAAAUGGAGAGUGCUAGAUAAGUCAGCACGAAGAUCUUGAGAACACAAGAAAUGCUGACUAACCUAAUGAGUGUAGGCCCGAUUGGCCAAAAAAUCGGCAGCAAAAGUAACCCCGAGAAGCACAUGCCUAACAAAAAUAGGAGAGGAAGAUGUCAAAGCACACACCCGACACAAUGAAUAAGCAUAAUCCCAACGAACAGGACCCCGAGAAUAAAUCCAAGAAAAAAUUGUGGCCGAGUCUGACUCGAUGCACGGAGUAACCAAGCUAAGUAGCAAGCUCCAACAUUUCACAAACAACCAUAAGCUCAAGGUAAAAAAUUGGCUGACAGCCAAGAAAAGAUUCAAAAGCAGCUAAAAUCACACUUCGAUGAACUCAUAUAAUACCACCUGACGCAGGCAUUCCAGGAUUGCCCCUAGGGCAACCAUCCACAAUCAGUUUUGCAAUCCCAAUAAGCAGCCUCAUCGAAGAAAGGCAGUAGUUUGUUUAUUUAUUUAACUUUCAUUGGUUUGCGAUUUUUUAGAUGGACUUCAAAUAUGAUACGUCUAUGCAAGUCUCCAUGGAUAUUGAGUUGGACUUCAAAUCUCCAUGCAUAUACUGGACUUAUUGUUUCUAGAAUCCAGAAAAAGAGUAACUAUUGGCAACCCUCUAUAAUCCUUAUAAAAUUUGUCUUCUAUGACAAUUACAUUAAAGAACAACAUAAAUCUAACUAAAUCCUUUCAUUUUCUUUCUCUAACUCUUUACACCUAUAGAAUCAAUCCAAUGUUUUUCAUUUUUUUUUCAAACAAACACUUUGUGUUUUAAUCAUUCUUAAUCUACAAAUAAUUUCUCACGCUUAUCGAUGAUCUCCUCGUCCAUUUUCAAUUUCUUGUAUAACCUUGAAUAAUAAACUUUUUUAAAAUUACAGAUAAUCCACUUUUAACCCUAGUUAAUUCUAACAUACGUGAUUUUACUUUUAAGAGUUAAAUAUGUAUAAUUUAAUCGUUAAAAAAGUUGUUCGAGGAACAUAUAUUUGGAGUUGAGUGGAAGAAGUUGAAAAAAUAGAAAAAAAGAUAUUUGAUAGAAAAGGGACUUUAAAAGGAAAUAACAGGGUGCUAAUAGUCCUACUUUCUUAGACAAAGUAGAGGAAUGGGCAAAUCCAGAUCAAUUCUUUGUAGAGUUGUUGUGUAGAAAUGUGUCAAACAACGAUGCAAGAUAAUAACAAAUAAAGGAGAAAAAGAAAAUGUCACAAAAAAAUUUAUGUGGUUCAAUAAAUUGCCUACAUCUAAGGCAGGGAGAAUUCAAAUAUCCACUAAUAUGACAAAGGUGGAAUACAACUAUCUCAAUGUCACUUCUCAAAUUCUCAAUACACCUUUUUUUCUCAAUUCACAAGUAUCAAAGACAGAACACUCAAGUUAUUUGAAUUCCUCAAAUAGGAAUUGAACCUCGCAAAUGCUUACUGGAAGCUCUUAAUUAAUGCUUAUAGGAAGCUCACAAUUGUUUUUCUUCAAUACUUAAACAAAUGGAACCAUGAGCUAUUUAUAGCCAAUUUGCAAACAAUGGCCACAUUAUUUUAAUCCAAAGUGGUUACCUAACUUGGCCAUUUUUUUGCCAAAAUGCUCCACUAACAAUUAUUUAAUGGCACAUGUUUGGGAGAAAUACGUCGACGAGACCAAGCAUGGUGAGCAGAUAUCUGAUGGCAGAGUUCUGCGAACCGGUGUGUUCCGUAAAAGCCUAGUGCGCAGGGGAACAGGAGCAGAAAUAUCCUGCUCGUCCACGAGCACGUCAUCCGCGAGGCAAAUUUCCUGUAAGAGGCAUAAGGCCAUUCCGGCUAGAGGUCGAGAGGCGAGGAGACCCGGUCGACGGCAGUUGGCAAGACAUGCUCUCCAGCCCGAGAAUCUAGGCACGACAGCCACGCUUUCCCCAGAACCGUGGCGUAACACGCAAGAUCCCACGUUUGCCCAUAACGCGGCAGUCAGAGUCCCAUACCGUCUCGAAAAAAGCGGAAAACUGGGAUUCAGAGGAAGCCUAUAAAAAGGUAGCCAACGAAGGUAAAUGGGUUAGCAUUUUUGAGAUUAGAAAAGAAAUUCUAAAAGAGAGAAAACAACCUAACAGCCAUAAGAUUUGUGGCAAGCGUUCCCCGAACCUUCAUAUCUGACUUGAGCGUCGGAGGGUUUGCGCCGGGAAAACAACCGGCGUACUCUGACCUGUCUGUGUGCGCAGGAACCUCUGGAGAAGAAGCCUUGCGAGGAGACCCCCUGGUCGUGAUGAAGUUGAUCGAGCAGAGAUUCUGGUCGUAGAACGAGGAGAACCGGAAUCUUGCAUCAACAGCACCUACUUUGGCCACUAUCAAUUGUGGGCUUACUUUUACCUAAUUGCUCCACUAAAAAAUGUUGAAUCGCUAAAUGGAAGCCACAUCGCCAACAAUCUCCACCUUGGCUUCAAAUUUGAUGUCGUCAACAUUUCCUACUGGAGCAAUUGGGUAAAGUAAGCCAAAAAUUGAAAGUGGCCAAAUUAGGUGGCAUUAAAUAAUUGUUAGUGGAGCAUUUUGGCAAAGGAAAUGGCCAAGUUAGUUAACCACUUUGGAUUAAAAUAAUGUGGCCAUUGUUUGCAAAUUGGCCAUAAAUAGCUUAUGGUUCCAUUUGUUUAAGUAUCGAAGAAAAACAAUUGUGAGCUUCUUACAAGCAUUAAUUAAGAGCUUUCAGUAACUAUUUGUGAGGUUCAAUUCCUACUCGAGGAAUUCAAAUAACCUGAGUGUUCUUUCUUCAAUACUUGUGAAUUGAGAGAAAGGGUGUAUUAGGAAUUUGAGAAGUGACGUUGAGACAGUUGUAUUUCACCUUUGUCAUAUUAGUGGAAAUUUGAAUUGUCCCCCGUGGAUGUAGGUAAUUUUUUUUUAAUCUCUUUUUCUUUCUCUCCUUUAUUUCGGAUCUAUAGUGUCUGUAAAGACUAGGCUUGGCAAAAUCUGGGUCCGGUCCGGGUUUUGGUGUUGCCCGGGACCGGACCGGAUGAGAGAAAUGCAAACCCGGACCCGGGUUAAAACCCAGUUUUUCCAGGUGCGGUCCGGGCUUGAGCCCGGCACCUUCCGGGUCUGGGUUUUGAUCCGGACUUUUUAAACCCGCAUGUGAUAAAUUUAAUUUUUUUUCAAUUUUUUUCUUCAAUUUUUUUUUAAUUUCUCUAACAAUACAAAUUUUUAAAAAGAAAAUAAUCAAAUAAACUCAUUCAAUUUCAAAUUUUAAAAAAGAAAAUAGUCAAAUACAAAUAUGUAACACAUUAACAAUACAAAUUUUGCACAAAUGAUAAAUAAAAAUUAUUUCAAUCUACUUUUUAAUACCUAAAUUUAUCCAAUUUCUAACUUAAACUCAUUCAAUCUAUAUAUAAAAUAAAUAAAUUAAAUUCAAUAACACAAUAAUUACACAAUAAAUUUAAAUAACAUCCAAUAUAUCAUAAAUUCAUAAUUAUAUAUUUAUAUAUAAUAUAUUUAUUUUUUUUAAAUUUAUUAAAAAACCGGAUCCGGUCCGGGUUCCGGGUUUUUUGUGUUGAACCCGGACCCGGGACCGGAAAUGUCCGGGUUUGAGAAUUUCAAACCAGGAUCUGGUUUUUAUAUGCAUGUGGUCCGGGUUUUGCCCGGACCGGAUUGGCUGGGUCCGGGCCGGGUCCGGUCCGGGCGGGCUUUUUUGACACCCCUAGUAAAGACAGUGUUGACAAAUGCUAAAGUUGAAGUUGAAAAUUUUAAUGGAACCAACAACUUUAGUAUGUGGCAAUGCGAGAUAAUAUCAAAUAAAGGAGAUAAAGGAAAUGACACCAAAAAAAAAAAAAUUACGUGAUUUGGCAAAUUGCCUACAUGCAUGGGAGGGAGAAUUUAAAUUUCCAUUAAUAUGACAGGUGGAAUAGAACUCUCUCAAGCUUACUUCCUAAAUUCUCAAUACACCCUUUCUCUCAAUUCACAAGUAUCAAAGAAAGAAUACUCAAAUUGUUCGAAUUCCUCAAAUAGGAAUUGAACCUCGGAGAUGCUCACUAAAAGCUCUUAACUAAUACUUUUAGGAAGCUCACAAUAGUUUGUCUUCGAUACUCAAACAAAUGGAACCGUAGGCUAUUUAUAGCCAAUUUUUCAAACAAUGACCAUAUCUUAAUCCAAAGUGGUUGUCUAGCAUGACCAUUUCUUUUACCAAAAUGCUCCAUUAAUGAUUAUUUUAUGGCACCUAAUUUGACCACUAUCAAUUGUUGGCUUACUUUCCCUAAUUGCUCCACUAACAAAUGUUGAAUAGCUAAAUGGAAGCCACAUUGCCAACAAUAGUGAAGCUCCUAACGCUAUUUUAAAACUCUAGGAAACCCCACUUAUUAUAUAUAUAUAACUCUUAUUUUGAUGAAAUUUUUAGAAAGGGACAAAAGGUCAUAAUAGAGUUUAAUUAAUUAACAAACAAUUUUUUUUAAUAAAAACAUAUAAUUUUUUACUAUAUUGCCACAAAAUUAUUUUGAUUUAAAAUAAUUAUUUAUAUCAUGUAAAGAUUGAGUUCAUGAUUUAUAAAUAUAAAAAUAUUUUAAUUUAGUUAAAUUCAUAUUUAUUAAUAUAAGGUUUUAUGAUAAUUUUUUAAAAAGUGAGCAACGACUAUUUGAAAACUAUUUCAUCAAGCCAUGAGGACAAUUAAUUGGACCUUUUUAAUGCAAAAUGCCCAAUUUUGAAAAAUUCCAGCCAAGUGGCAAAACUAAAAGCAAUGCCUUGAAUAAUUUGGCACCAUGGCCUCCCUAGGUUUCCUUAAUCUACAAAUAUUAAAGCGAACCAUGAAUUAUUUGUCUCCGUUUCCAAGUAUUAGGUAGAAUUAAUGUACUAGGCAUUUUAGCUUAGGAAAUCCUCUAUAUAUAUAUAUAUAACACAAAAAAAUCAAACACGUGAUUUGAAAAUUUUUAAAAGUGUUAAAAAUGUUUAGAAAUAAUAGAUAGAUUCAGCCCCAGGAUAUCGUAUGAUAUUAAUGACAACGAGACAAAGGCUUGAAAAAUCAAACAUUAAAGACACAUUUCCCCCCGGCAAGAUGCCUAAUAUUUACAAUGCUCUGGUACUCAAGAGUCGAGACACAAGGACAUGAAAAAUCAAAGCAAACGAUGAUGUGUUUCAAAAGUUUAUCAUUUCUGUGAGUGAAAGGACUCGAUAAAGUAGAAAUCGAACGACGACUGAUCUCUGGUAAACAUCUAUAGGUACGCAACAAAUAUUUACCAACUAACUAAAUUAAGAAUAUUAUGUUUGAGAAAUCAAACAUAAUUUGGAAAAUAAUUAGUGUUGCAAAUAUUUAUCCUUUCUGUGAUUGAAAGAACUCGAUAAAUAGCAACUCAAUGAUAAUUGAUCUCUGGUAAAUAUCUAUAGGUGAACACAGAUACUUGCCAGCUAACUUAAGAUUAAGUUAGUAUAAAAUAUAUAUUUUAAAAUAUACCAAAAUUUCCUAGUAGUAUCCCAAUAUUUCUAAUCCAAGUGCUGACCAUUCAAUAGAUGAAUGCCUCCUCACUUAAGAUGAUUAGAGGUAGAAAAAUGAUAUUUAUUCAUAAUGAUUAAAGAACAGGCCAUAGAAACAAUUAUAAAACCAUAUGGAAUUAACGUGUUUUUCAUUAAUUUUUUAAAUUAAUUGUAACACCAUAUGGUGUUAACUUAUUUUUAUCAUUAUCUUUUUUCAUAACUGUAGGACCAUAGAGUAUUAACGUGUAUUCUAUAGCCAUUAUGAAAUAUUUUCCUGGAUGAUGAAUAUUAUUAGGUAAGAUACUGUAAAAAAACAAAAUGAAAAUGAUAAAAUAAUCUAAUCAAGAUCGUUCUCAAUCAUACUCUAAAUCUAUCAAAUAAUGUCCCUUAAAGAAACAGUCCACAAAGCCUUCUUCUAGAUAUCAAUGUUUAUUACUCCAAAAAUUUUCCUGAAAACGCAGUUUAAAGAGGAAAAAAAAAAAUAGUGGGAAACAACAAUAGAAUCAGUGAAGUUGACAACAAUUAUGGCAUUUUCCAGUAAUUGAGAAAUUUAAAUCAUAAGUAAUAUAAGAACUUUCUCACAAGUCAUGCCGGAUAUUACUGUAUUAGAAUAAAUAAGCCAUUAGAUGCCCACAAUCCUCAUCGUUUUCUUGCAGGAAUGGAAAAUGGUUAUCUCGGAUGACACCAAAACAUCUUCUGAAAAUGGGUGGGAAAUCGACAGAGAGCGCAAGGUUUUUGAUGAUACGAAAGCCGGUGUCAAAGGACUAGUGGACGCUGGCGUAGUGAAUAUUCGCAGGAUAUUCAUUCGACAACUUGAAGAGCUUGCUCAGGAGUUGACCACUCACCGGACCAAACUACAACUGCCAGUUGUCGAUCUUGAUGGCAUCCAAGACAAUAAACUUGAAGACAUUGUUGAUCAAGUUCGGGCUGCGUCCGAAACAUGGGGCUUUUUCAAAGUUAUCAAUUAUGGGGUUUCCUUAAACCUGAUACAAGAGAUGAUUGAAGGAGUUCACAAGUUUAAUGAACAAGAUGUUGAGGUGAAGAAACAGUUCUACACACGUGAGCCCACGAGAAAUGUUUGAUUCAACAGCACAUUGAUAUCUAUCACUCACGAACUGCAAGUUGGAGGGACACGUUGGCUGUUUUUAUUUCGUGUACCAAAAGUUUGGAACCCAACGAUAUGCCCCAAGUUCGCAGGUAAAUGUAUAAUCGAUCCUGUCUCUGUAUAUAUAUUGCUGGUUAAUGCAGAGCCUUUUUUGUAAUGUUGAGUGCACUGCAACCAAUGAUCAUGAGUGGUGAUAUCAUAUUCUUCUGUACAAUCGUUCAUCCCAAUUUGCAGAGACACAAUAAUGGAGUACAUAAGAGAAGUCACAAAAUUGGGUGAGUUCUGUUUGAAAUACUAUCAAUGGCUCUAGGAUUGAAGCCUGAAUAUUUGAAAGAUAUGGGAUGCUUCAAUUUAUACCUCAUUGUCUGCAACUACCAUCCGCACUGCCCACAGCCAGAGCUGACUUUGGGAGCUAGAAGGCAUUCUGAUCCUUCAUUCCUUACAAUUCUGUUGCAAGAUCAAAUCUGUGGCCUUCAAGUCUUUCAUGAAAAUCAGUGGAUUGAUGUUAACUAGGGGUGUUUGCGGAUCGGAUUUUACGGAUUGGACAUCAAUCCAUAUCCGAUCCAUAAUUUUGCGGAUUAUAAUUUUUCAAUCCAAUCCAAUCCAAUCCACGGAUUGAUUAAACUCAAUCCAAAUCCAAUCCAUACAUCUGCGGAUCGGAUGCGGAUUUGACUUAAUCCAUAUCCAACCCAUAUGUCUGCGGAUCAGAUACAAAUUUAACUUAAUCCAUAUCCAAUCCACCAUUUUACGCAUUAGUUUCCGAAUUAAAAAUUUUUAGUUCUCUCAAUUCAUGAACUAAUGAAAUAAAAAAAAUCUAAUAUAAAAAUAAUUUUACUACCAAUUAAAUUUAAAAUUGAAUAAAAUUUAAACAAAUUAAUUGUUUGAAUAAAACUAAAAUAAUACAUUCAAAGUUUCAAAAUAUAACACAUCGAGAUUAAUUGUUCAAAUAAAGGUACAAUAAUACGUUUAAAAUUUCAAAAUAUAACAUACUAAGAUUAAUUGGUCAAAUAAAGUUACAAUAAUACAUUAAUAUAACACCGAAAUUAAUUGUUCAAAUAAAGCCAUAAUUAAUUGAAAUGGUGAAGUUUCUGAAACCAAACACAGUCUGAUCCUUCACCAGGGCUGUUCUACUUGUCGAAAAGUGGUAAUUACGGAGCCGUCAACGGUGGGAACCAGGAGAAGUACGGGUGGCGAUCUUGAAGGUUGUGAUAGUGCAAUUGUUUGGCUGAAACCAGUGAUUGUGAAGUGGCUCGAUGGACUCGGGGAAGAAGAUGGCUUGCUCUCGCUGGAAUCGUGCGGCCGAUGUCCUUCAAAUCGGUGUCGAGAGUGUAUCGAACCAGUAUUGGGCGUUACUAGUGCAUAUGACGGCGGGGAAGCUUAAGGUUUUUUGUUUGCAAAUUGUUGGUGACUUGGUGUUAUGUUACUUUACUUUUAGGUGACUUUGCAAAUUGUUGGUAACUUGGCGUUAUGUUACUUUGCUUUCGCUAGUGCAUGUGACUUUGUUUUAUUUUGUUUUACAAUUUUUACAAGUUAUAUUUGUAUAUUUGAUUAUUUAAUUAUUUAAUUGUUUUUUAUUUUAUAUUAUUAUUGGGUAAUGGCUAAGAUAUGUUAUAGUGCUUAUGUAACUAUGUAAUGUCACAUUUAUAAUAUUCUUUAAUUAAAUUUAUAAUAAUUUUUUAACUAAAUAAAUAUAUAUAUUUUACGGAUUCACGGAUUUUUAAGGAUUUACAUAAGUAAAUCCAUAUCCAAUCCAUCGACUGCGGAUUUUUAAAUUUUCAAUCCAUAUCCAAUCUACGGAUCCACAGAUCGGAUUUAUACAGAUUGGAUUUUCACGGACCAGACGAAUUGAGCGAAUAAGAUUGGAUUAUGAACACCCCUAAUGUUAACCCUAUAUCAGGAGACUUGGUAGUAAAUAUAGGGGGCUUUCUCUAGGUUUGUCUUUGAAAAUAAUUGAGACAAUUAAUCUUCCCAUCAUCUGCUUAAUAUUCGUGUUUUAAUAGUAACUAUAUAUGCUUAUUAAUGUUUUCAAUAAUUAAUUAAUUCAGGUUAUAUCAAACGAUAAGCUCAAGAGUGUUGACUAUAGAGUUGUGGCCAAUGUUCAUGCCACUGCAAGGAUUGCUGUGGCAUGCUUUUUCACAGGUCAUGCUACUAAAGGACAGAAGCCCUUUGGACCGAUCAAAGAGUUGAUCUCUGAAGAAAAUCCACCUGUUUACAGACAAUUUCUAGUGGGAGAAUAUAUGAGCAAAUGCUUUUCCAGAGAACUUCAAAGCAAAUCUACUGGCCUCAAGCAGUUUAAGCUUUAAAAGUAGCAGUGUACUUGAAUAGAGUUCUCAAAUGCUAUAAAUUGAGUAUGUACUAAUGUUAAUAUCUGCCCUUCCCAAUAAUUUCAAACUACAUGUUUCAAAUAAGUAAGAGAUUUUAGAGUAUAUUAGAAGUACUACACUUAAUUAAUUGGUAAUUAUAUAUAAUUAAACUACACAUGCUAUAUAUAUAUAUAUUGAUUAAAUGUAGUACUUCUUAUGUACUCUAAAAUUUCUUCAAAUAAGGAUAAUAUAUGAUCCUCUUGUGUUAUUGAUUAUUUUUGUGUAAAAUUCCAAAAACAGCUUGUAAAUUCUAAAUUUUCUAAUGUUUUCAUGCUAAUUUCAAAAUAAACAAUUAGACCUAAUGCUCAUAUAUAUGUUUAGAGUGUAAUUAAUCGAAAAAAUAUUUCAUAUUCAAAUGUCAAAUCGCAUAUCAUUAUAAAUAUAUUCUGUGACACAAGGGACUUUGAAAGAUGAACACGGUGCAACUAAGCAAAAGAUCUAAAUUUGAUAAAUGUAAUUAGCGCUCAUGGCUACCGAAUAAAAGAGGAAAGCAAUUUGGUCAGCACUCCGUUCCUGUGUUUGUAGUAUCUUAUAUCUGAAAGAGAAAAUGAAGUUGUUUGUUUCUGAGGAAAAUAUUUUUCAGAGAAAAGAUCACUUUAUUUCUUAUUGAUUUUACUUAAACAAUAACAACAGAAUCAACUCAACUUAUAUACAUGCACAAGAUUCCAGCUUAAGCUAAUUACAUUUCGUUAUACACACAUACGAAAUGACUAAUAACAAUCUUAACAAACUUGUGCUGAUCUGGCAACUUGCUUAACUAACUCUGAUGAGUUGGCAUUGUUGAAACGUCUGACUGACUGAGACUGAAGCUUCUUCUCCUUCUUACUCCUACUCUCUGUAAGCUCAGCAUACUGGACUUCCUUAACAGCCCCCCUCAAACUCAAGGGGCAAGGCUGCAUAUUGAGUUUUGAUAUCAGAUAGUUAAAAUGAACAAAAGAGAGGGGUUUUGUCAUGAUAUCAGCCAUCUAGUCUUUAUUGGGAAUGUACUGAAUUUUUAACUCCCCUGCAAUCACUUUGUUUCUGAUAAAGUGUAAGUCAAGCUCGAUGUGUUUAGUUCUAGAAUCAAAUAGGGUUACGAGCUAGCUCAGUGGCACUGGUGUUGUCACACCAGAUAGUGGGUAUCUCUGAACAACACAAACCAAUUUUAGAAAACAAAGAUUGUAACCAGCUGAUCUCUGCACUAGCUGAAGCUAAGGCUCUGUACUCACUCUCAACACUAGAUCUAGCAAUGACUGACUGCUUCUUGGAUGACCAUGAAAUCAAAUUAUUACCUAAAUAGAUGCAAUAAAGCUCCAACAGAUUUUCGAUCAUCUAAAUCACAAGCUCAAUCUGCAUCAGUGAAUCCAGUAAUCUUCAUUUCUCCAUUUUGAGCAAACUUAAGUCCAUAAUCUUAAGUAGACUUUAAGUAUCUAAGCACUCUUUUACACGUUAUAAGAUGUUGUAUUGUAGGACUUGAAACAUACUGGCUUAACUUGUUUACAGCAAAGGCAAUCUCUGGCCUUGUUAAAACCAGAUAUUGCAUACCUCCUACAAUACUCCUGUAAUGUGUAGCAUCAACAAUAUAUUGGCCUAGAUGUCAUUGAGCUUUUUUUUUGCAGCUUAAUUCCAGUACUCAUAGGUGUGUCAAUAUCUUUACACUCAAGCAACUGAACCUUAGUCAGUAGAUCUCUUAUGUACUUCCUUUGAGACAGAUAAAUGCAAUCUGCACCAUAUAAGACUUCUAUGCCUAGAAAAUAAGAGAGAGUACCUAAAUCCUUGAGUGCAAAAACUACAUUAAACUUGGCAAUGAAAUAUUCUAGUUCUGCACUAUUUGGUCAUGUGAUUAAGAUAUCAUCAACAUAAAUCAGUACCAAUAUCAUGUAAGAGCUAGUUUUCUUGAUGAACAGAGAUGUGUCAGCUCUUGAGUUUUCAAAGUCCCACUGUAACAAACACCCUUUUAACUUUUCAUACCAAGCUCGUGGAGCUUGCUUGAGACCAUAAAGUGACUUGUGGAGUUUACACACAAAGUUUGGCUUUUGACUGUCAACAAACCCUGCUGGUUGAUCCAUAAAAACUUCUUCUGUUAACUCCCCAUUAAGAAAAGCAUUAUUAACAUCUACUUGUCUGAUUUGCCACUGAUUCAUAACAGCCAAACUAAUCACUACUCUAACAGUAGCUGAUUUUACCACUGGACUGAAAGUUUCAAAGUAAUUUACCCCUGCAAUUUGUUGAAAUCCCUUAGCAACUAACCUAGCCUUGUACUUGGCCAGACUUCCAUCUGAGUUAUGCUUAACUCGAUAUACCCACUUGUUUCCAACAGUCUUCUGAUCACUGAUCUUGGAACUAAAGACCAUGUAAUGUUCUUGAGCAGAGCACUAUAUUCUUCCUCCAUAGCUUCAAACCAUUUAGGAUUUUGCAUAGCUUCUUCUACAGAUUCUGGCUCUUUAUGAACAAGAGCUACAUUGUAGAGCUUAGGUUUGAAAAUGCCAAUCUUACUCCUAACGGUCAUAGGAUGUGUGUUUAAAGAAGUAUUGAAUUGUUGUGUGUUUUCUAGAGCUGAUGUGUUUUGAUAAGUUUUUGGUGAUGUUUGAAAAAUGGGAGGUCUGUUGGUGAUGAUUGGCUGAAUUGGUAAAGAAGUAUGAAGCUCUGUAUUAGUGAUUGGUGAUGUGUUUGUUUGUGACAAUGGAUGAGAAUUGUUGUUAUGAUCAGGAGGAACUGAAUGAUAAGGACUGCUGCUGGUGGAACUUACAGAGAUAGGAUUAUGAGUGCUGUUAUCAUCUGAAGUUGAGAAUAAUGGCAAAGUGGAUAGAUGAUACACUUGCUGAGGAGUGAAAGAUAAGUUUUGACAUGAGUUUGAUUUAUUAAAAGCAAAAGCAGAAUAUGAGGAAUAAGAAAAAGAUGACUCAUCAAAGACAACAUGUCUUGCUAUAUAAACUUGACCAGAUGGAUGCAAACACUUGUAUCCUUUAUAGAAGGACUGUAACCAAUGAAGACACACUUGCUAGAAUGAUAAUCAAACUUAUGCUUGUUAUAAUCUCUUAACUAUGGAUAGCAUGCACAACCAAAACAUUUAAGCAUUUUGUAGUCUGGUUUAUGUUUGAACAACUUUUCAUAUGGAGUAAGAAACUUCAGAGCUGUAGAAGGCAACCUGUUAAUAUGGUAAACUGCUGUUUGGAAAGCUUCCCACAAAAAGUUUAAGGGUAAUUUAGCUUGAGCUAGAAGUGUGAGUCCUAACUCAACAACAUGCCUAUGUUUCCUCUCAACUACCCCAUUUUGGUGAUCUGUGUAAGGACAUGAGUGUCUGAAUAUGAUUCCAUUUUGGUUCAGAAAAUCAGUAAAUGCUCUAUACUCUCCCCCCCAGUCAGAUUGCAGCAUUUUAAUAGGACAUUGAAAUUGUUUUUCAGCUUGCAAUUUGAACAAUUUGAAAACUUGGAGGGCUUCUAAUUUCAAUUUUAAUGGAUAAAUCCAGGUGUAUCUACUGAAGUCAUCAACAAAGCUGAUAUAAUAGACAUAACCAACUUUAGAAAGGAUAGGUGAACGGCCCCAUAAAUCAGUGUGAAUUAGUUUAAGCACUUGAGAAGUUUUGGUUUAUGUGACAGGGAAGUGCAAUCUGUGACUUUUUCCCAUUUGACAGGCCUCACAUAUUUGUUGUGCAACUUGGUUAAUAAGAGAAGUUGAAAGAUUAAUAGUUUGAUCAUUCUUAAGCAAAUGUAUUAAGACAUUAUGAUGAGGAUGACCAAAUCUUCUAUGAAGAAGAUCAGCUUUAUUGAAAACAAGCUUUAGAACGUGAGUGUUUAUUCUGAACAUUAUUUGCAACAGAAAAAGAAGCAUGACAUGUUGACAACAUAGACAGAGGCUGAUUUGAAGAAACUUGACACACGAAGGAAGAUGGAGACUGUGAUGAUUUUAACAACAACUUAUACAAUCCUUUCUCAGCAAGACCUUACAGAAGUACUUGUCCCUUCAGUGAAUCCUUUACAUAACACACAUUGCCAACAAAUUCAAUGGAAAGAUUAUUAUCAGUUGUCAAUUUGGAUAUGCUUAUUAAAUUCUUAAUAAUUGAAGGAACUAACAAGAUAUCUUUGAGUGCUAUAGGUGUGUGUUUGUAGGCAGAUUUGAAACUUUUAUGAUUAAAGCAUGCAUCACCAAUAUGAGUAAUGACCAAACCUUGUCCAUUGCCAAUAGUCAGCUGGUCUGAGCCUUUGAAAUCUUCUCUCAUAUGUAUAUUUGCUAUGUUGUUAGUAAUAUGAUGUGUAGCUCCACUGUCAAGAUACCACCCUUCAUCAGUUGAACCUUCAACAUUUGCAACAUAGACUUCAGGCAGAGUAAAUGCCUCUGAUGGAUAAGAAGAAGCAGGAGAAUAGUUCAUGAACUGAUAGCUAGGAUCUGAGACUUUAUAAAGAUCUUCAAAUGAUGAUGGUUGAUAAGGAAAUGGCUCAAAAUUAGACAUAUAUGCAGUCUUUAAUCCCAUCAUUUUUCCUCUCCCAAAUUGUUUAGGUGAAGAAACAUAGGCAUCACCAUACCUAUACCAACAUGCAUCAGCAGUAUGUCCUUGCUUGUGAUAUAUUUGACAUAUAGGUGCUGGCUCACUUGAUUCAGAAACAUUUGAAGUAUUAGCAGGAGAGAACAUGUGCCUCAUUUGUGGUGGCCUAUGAGAUUGCAUGAACUGAUUUCUUCCAAAACCUACAACAUUUCCUCUACCAAAACCACUAGCGGUACUACCACCAGCUGGAAAACCUCUAGGAUAAGAAGUAGAAAACAUGCCUUGACCAAAAAAUUGACCUCUGCCUCCAGAUUGUCCAUAGGUAGCAUUACCAUUACCAUAAGCAUUUCUCCUAGGAGCACCCCUCAUAUGUGAAUAAUUUGUAUUCAUCAUACUAUAAUUUGCAUUAAACAUGGCCUGAGGGUUCUAAUUUUGUUCCAGCCUAGCUUCAUGUGUCAAUAAAAGUGCAUAUGCAUCAUCAUAACUCAUCUUAUUGGCUGUAAUUAUUGAAGCCAGAUCUAGAUAGCCAGAUCCAAGUCCAUUUAGUGUCCUUAUCAGUAAAUCUUUUUCAGUUAUGUUAUCUCCAGCACAUGCAAGUUUAUUAUCUAGCAUUUUCAUUUUCGAACAAUAAUCUUCAAUAGACAUUGACUAUUUUCUCAGAGUACCUAAUUCAUAUCGAAGUUGCAUUAUUUUUGCUUCAGAUUGUACUCCAAAUUGCUUUUCAAUAGAUCUUCAUAUAUCAAAAGAAGUAUCAUAGUUACGAACUGAGCUUAAGAUACCUUCACUAAUUGUUGAAAGAAGCCAGCUAAGCAGAGUUUGAUCUUGAGCUCUCCAGUUGACAUAAGUUGGAUUUUCAAUCCUUUCCACAGAUCCAUCAGCUUGUGACUGAGAAAUAUAUUGUUUUGGAAUAUUCUGCUUCUCUGAGAUUAAUCCUUCAAGUCGAUUUCCUCUGAUUGAAGUGAUCACUUGUUUGCGCCAGAGAAGGAAGUUUGAUCGAUCGAGUUUUACUGUUGUAGCCAAAGUAAAUGAAGUUUGUGUGGAAUGCAUUUGAUUGAAAUUUAAACGAUUUUGAUUUAUUGUAAUGGAACUAUCCAUGGAUGGCUCUGAUACCAUGAAAGAGAAAAUGAAGUUGUUUGUUUCUGAGGAAAAUAUUUUUCAGAGAAAAGAUCACUUUAUUUCUUAUUGAUUUUACUUAAACAAUAACAACAGAAUCAACUCAACUUAUAUACAUGAACAAGAUUCCAGCUUAAGCUAAUUACAUUUCGUUAUACACACAUACGAAAUGACUAAUAACAAUCUUAACAAACUUGUGCUGAUCUGGCAACUUACUUAAUUAACUCUGAUGAGCUGGCAUUGCUGAAAUGUCUGACUGACUGAGACUGAAGCUUCUUCUCCUUCUUACUCCUACUCUCUGUGAGCUCAGCAUACUGGACUUCCUUAACAAUAUCUAUUGACAAGUUGAAAACUGUAGAGCCCCGUGCUUAUAUCUAAUGACAAGUAAGCAAAAGAUCUAGACUGUACAGCACCAUGCUUUGGCAAAUCAUAUUGGCCCCAGAGUAAGCAAAAGAUCUACACUGUAGAGCACCGUGCUUUGGCAAAUCAUAUUGGCCCCAGAGUAUCUGUGGCUUGCUUUUUCACACCACAUCCUUAUCUGUGGCUUGCUUUUUAGCCAAGUGGAUGGUUGUGCUGGAGCCGUACUGGUGCACAUUGACAUCCAUGUGCUUCUCAAUGUUUGCCUUCACGCGUCGAAGUUCGAUUUGAAAGAAAAAGCAGAUGAACGAAAAACCAAUUAGGACGUCUAUUUACUUCAGGAAGGAAAAUUAUUUGAAUAUCUCUGCUAGAAGUUAACAUCCUUGAAUCCUUGACUGCCAGUGCAAUGGUGCGAUCUCUAUCAAGCAAUAAGUAAGCUUGAUUUUAAGCCAGGCCUUUUACAAAUUAUAACUAUCCAAUGUUUAUGCUCAUUAAUUAUUUUUGAUACUUAGUUGAAAAGUAUUAAUAUAAGCCAUAAGACUACCAUCUAUGCUCAUCAUUUUCUUGUCGAAAACAGACAAUGGAUAUCUACGAUACCAGUAGAAUGACCACGCAAACUGUGACGGACUACCACAGAGCUAAAGAGGUUCAGGCUUUUGAUGAUACAAAAGCCGGUGUCAAAGGAUUAGUGGAUGCUGGAAUUGUGAAUAUUCCCAGGAUAUUCAUUCGACCGCCUGAGGAGCUUGUCGAGGAGUUGACCAGUCAUCAGACCAAUUUUCAAGUACCGGUUAUUGAUCUUGAUGGCGUCAGAGGCAAUAAGCUUGAGGAGAUUGUUGAUCA
rnacentral:lncRNA from 1 species